GCCGGGCGUGGUGGCGCAUGUCUGUAAUCCCAGCUACUCAGGAGGCUGAGGCAGGAGAAUUGCUUGAACCCAGGAGGCAGAGGUUGCAGUGAGCCGAGAUUGCGCCACUGCACUCCAGCCUGGGAAACAGAGUAAAACUCUGUCUUUA
rnacentral:sRNA from 1 species